UAUUGGGCAAAGGGCGCAAGCCUGACCCAGCAACGCCGCGUGAAGGAAGAAGGCUUCCGGGUUGUAAACUUAUUUUGUCAGGGACGAAGCAAGUGACGGUACCUGACGAAUAAGCCACGGCGAACUACGUGCAAGCAGCCGCGGUAAUACGUAGGUGGCAAGCGUUAUCCGGAUUUACUGGGUGUAAAGGGCGUGUAGGCGGGGAAGCAAGUCAGAUGUGAAAACCACGGGCUCAACCUGUGGCCUGCAUUUGAAACUGUUUUUCUUGAGUGCUGGAGAGGCAAUCGGAAUUCCGUGUGUAGCGGUGAAAUGCGUAGAUAUACGGAGGAACACCAGUGGCGAAGGCGGAUUGCUGGACAGUAACUGACGCUGAGGCGCGAAAGCGUGAGGAGCAAA
rnacentral:rRNA from 1 species